rnacentral:rRNA from 1 species
AACGAACGCUGGCGGCAUGCCUAACACAUGCAAGUCGAACGAGACCUUCGGGUCUAGUGGCGCAUGGGUGCGUAACGCGUGGGAACCUGCCCUUAGGUUCGGAAUAACUCCCCGAAAGGGGUGCUAAUACCGGAUAAUGUCUUCGGACCAAAGAUUUAUCGCCCUUGGAUGGGCCCGCGUUGGAUUAGCUAGUUGGUAAGGUAAAAGCGUACCAAGGCAACGAUGCAUAGCUGGUUUGAGAGGGUGAUCAGCCACACUGGAACUGAGACAGGGCCCAGACUCAGAAGAGAGGCAGCAGUAGGGAAUCUGACGCAAUGGGCGAAAGCAGGAGGGAGGAAAGCGGCGUGAGGGAUGAAGGUCUUCGGAGCGGAAAAAUCGGUGAUUAGGGAAGAAAAGAAGUGUAAGUAACUGUGCACAUCUUGACGGGACCUAAUAAGAAAGCCACGGCUAACUAAGUG